ensembl:lncRNA
AGAUGCUCCAGGCCCUUUAUCAUCUUUGUGACCCUCUGCUGGACUCCUUCUAGGAGAUCCCUGUUGGUUUUGAACUGGGGAGCCCAAAACUGAACACAGUAAUCUAAACGUGGCCUUACCAGUGCAAAGUAGAGGGGAAAGAUCGUCUCACUCUACCUGCUGGCCACAUUCUAUUUAAUGCACCUAGCAGAAGGGUGCAUUUUUAAGUCCACCAGUAGAAGGGAGAAAGAAAGCAAUAGGCAUCUGUUAAUCCCUCUUUUUUCUUGCUUUUUUUUCCUUCCCUUUUAUGUUUCUCUUUUUCUUUUCCAUUUCCCUUUCCUUUUUUUUUAAAAAAGCACAAAUAAAUUCAUGAAAUGACACUUCUCGACGUACAAACAGAUAUAAAAAUAUCAUCUGAUACCUCUUUGCGCUGUUCUCACAAUCAUAGAGUAGCCAUCAGUAGCUUUGGUUUUGGUAAUAAAUAAAUAAAUAAAUAAAUAAAUAAAAAAUCUGCAGGACUGUCGUACAAAUACUAGUGAUGGGGGAUGGAGGGGAGAUAUUCUGGCCAUCAGUGACCUUUCCCUUCCAUUUCCCCCCCUUAUUUUCUCCUUUUCUGUUCUCCUUUCUCUUUUUCUUCCCUAUUUAAUUUUCAUUUUGUCUUUCUUCCCCCUUUCCUUCCCUCUUUUUUCUUGCUCUUUUUUUUUACUUCCCCUUUAUGUUUCCCUUUCCCUUUAUUUCCCUUUCCCUUUAUUUCCCUUCCCUUUUUCUUUUCUCUUUUUCUAUUCUUUUCUUUGGGGAAGCUGUAUUUAUGUUGUAUUUACUUUGGUAUUAUCUUACCUUUUUAGAGGAGUUGUGCUGCUUCUGCUUCUUCAAAAAGGAACAGGGGAGCUCUACAGUAGAAGCCUGAAGGUGAGGUGGGCUGGCCUCUCUGCCUGCCUGUGCUCCUUCCUUCCCCCUGAAAGUUCACCACAUGAGAUUUUGAUAGGCUUCUUCUUACCCUAUUUGUUUUACUAUUCCUCCCCCCUUUUGUGUUCUCCUUUCUCUUUUUCUUCCCUAUUUAAUUUUCAUUUUCUGUUUACUUCCCCCUUUCCUUCCCUCUUUUUUCUUGCUCUUUCUUUUUCAUCCCCUUUAUGUUUCCGUUUCCCUUCCUCUUUUCCCUUUCCCUUCCACUUCCCCUUUCUCUUUCCCUUUCCCUUCCCCUUUCCCUUUUCCUUCCCUUUUCUCUUUCCUUUCCCUUUUUGUUUCCCCUUCCCUUCCCUUCUUUUCCUUCCAAGAAGCUGUAUUUAUCUUGUAUUUACUUAUGUAUUUAUCUUACCUUUUUAGAGGUGUUGUGCCUGCUUCUGCUGGCUUCAAAAAGGAACAGGGAGCUCUACAGUAGAAGCCUGAAGUUGAGGUGGGGUGGCCUGUCUGCCUGUACUCCUUCCUUCCCUCCUGGGAAAGUUCACCACAUGAGGUUUUGAUAGGCUUCCAUAAUGUAUGGGUAUGGAAAGCUGCAACUACUCUGCAGAUGACUGGUAUAUACUUAACAUUUGAAAUCUCAAUAAAAUUUUCUGCUUGUUGAGUUAUUGUCUGGCA